rnacentral:rRNA from 1 species
UACGGAGGGUGCAAGCGUUAAUCGGAAUUACUGGGCGUAAAGCGUGCGUAGGUGGUUCGUUAAGUCCGUUGUGAAAGCCCCGAGCUCAACUUGGGAAUUGCAGUGGAUACUGGCGAGCUGGAGUGCGGUAGAGGAAGGUGGAAUUCCCGGUGUAGCGGUGAAAUGCGUAGAGAUCGGGAGGAACACCAGUGGCGAAGGCAGCCCCCUGGGCUAACACUGACGCUCAUGCACGAAAGCGUGGGGAGCAAACAGG